AUUGAACGCUGGCGGCAGGCUUAACACAUGCAAGUCGAGCGGAGAGAGGUAGCUUGCUACUGAUCUUAGCGGCGGACGGGUGAGUAAUGCUUAGGAAUCUGCCUAUUAGUGGGGGACAACAUUUCGAAAGGAAUGCUAAUACCGCAUACGUCCUACGGGAGAAAGCAGGGGAUCUUCGGACCUUGCGCUAAUAGAUGAGCCUAAGUCGGAUUAGCUAGUUGGUGGGGUAAAGGCCUACCAAGGCGACGAUCUGUAGCGGGUCUGAGAGGAUGAGCCGCCAGACUGGGACUGGGACACGGCCCAGACUCCUCCGGGAGGAAGCAGUGGGGAAUAUUGGACAAUGGGCGGAAGCCUGACCUAGCCAUGCCGCGUGUGUGAAGAAGGCCUUAUGGUUGUAAAGCACUUUAAGCGAGGAGGAGGCUACUUUAGUUAAUACCUAAAGAUAGUGGACGUUACUCGCAGAAUAAGCACCGGCUAACUCUGUGCCAGCAGCCGCCGUAACAC
rnacentral:rRNA from 1 species